UGCGUAGGCGGAUUAUUAAGUCCGUGGUGAAAUCUCCAAGCUUAACUUGGAAACUGCCAUGGAUACUAUUAGUCUUGAAUGUUGUGGAGGUUAGCGGAAUAUGUCAUGUAGCGGUGAAAUGCAUAGAUAUGACAUAGAACACCAAUUGCGAAGGCAGCUGGCUACACAAAUAUUGACGCUGAGGCACGAAAGCGUGGGGAUCAAACAGGAUUAGAUACCCUGGUAGUCCACGCCCUAAACGAUGAUUACUCGACAUUUGCGAUACACAGCAAGUGUCUGAGCGAAAGCAUUAAGUAAUCCACCUGGGAAGUACGACCGCAAGGUUGAA
rnacentral:rRNA from 1 species